rnacentral:rRNA from 1 species
GACGAACGCUGGCGGCGUGCUUAACACAUGCAAGUCGAACGGAAAGGCCCUGCUUUUGUGGGGUGCUCGAGUGGCGAACGGGUGAGUAACACGUGAGUAACCUGCCCUUGACUUUGGGAUAACUUCAGGAAACUGGGGCUAAUACCGGAUAGGAGCUCCUGCUGCAUGGUGGGGGUUGGAAAGUUUCGGCGGUUGGGGAUGGACUCGCGGCGUAUCAGCUUGUUGGUGGGGUAGUGGCUUACCAAGGCUUUGACGGGUAGCCGGCCUGAGAGGGUGACCGGCCACACUGGGACUGAGAUACGGCCCAGACUCCUACGGGAGGCAGCAGUGGGGAAUAUUGCACAAUGGGCGGAAGCCUGAUGCAGCAACGCCGCGUGCGGGAUGACGGCCUUCGGGUUGUAAACCGCUUUCGCCUGUGACGAAGCGUGAGUGACGGUAAUGGGUAAAGAAGCACCGGCUAACUACGUG